rnacentral:rRNA from 1 species
CAAUAGCGUAUAUUAAAGUUGUUGUGGUUAAAAAGCUCGUAGUUGGAUCUCGGCGGACUGAGGGCGGUUUGCUUGCUAGUAUUACUGCCCUAUAGUCCGUAGUUUUGCCAGAGGUUUCGGGGUGCUCUUAAUCGAGUGUCCCGGGAUGCUGGCAGGUUUACUUUGAAAAAAUUAGAGUGCUCAAAGCAGGCUAUUACGCCUGAAUAUUCGUGCAUGGAAUAAUAGAAUAGGAAGUCGUUUCUAUUUUGUUGGUUUUCGGAAAUCGACUUAAUGAUUAAUAGGGACAGUCGGGGGCAUUUGUAUUCAAACGACAGAGGUGAAAUUCUUGGACCGUUUGAAGACAAACUACUGCGAAAGCAUUUGCCAAGAAUGUUUUCAUUAAUCAAGAACAAGUAAAGUUAAGUCGAAGACGAUCAGAUACCG